rfam:Moorella thermoacetica ATCC 39073, complete genome.
AACUCUAUAAACCUCCGAGCCAGUGGGCCUAAGGUUUUCGGCUAUGGCUGCUGGCCUCCUGCCUGCUUGCCAGGCAGCGACGGGGUAGGCGGGGAAACCGGCCUGCCUCCCGGAAUGGGAAAGGAGUAUUUGACCCGGUGGU